UCCCCGAUAAGCCUCCCAUCUGACCGCCCAUGUCUUUGGCCUGGAUUACCACCUGAUAUUGCUCCCUGUUUUCUCUGUUCAUGUUUGGCUCCACAGAGAAAUAUGGCUGCCCUUGCAGUAUGCUGUAAAUGACUCUGGCGCUGUUCCCAUACGAAGGGUCAUCGGCAUCUGUAGCUGUGACUUGCACCACAGAAGUACCUGAAGUAUCCAAAUUCAGCUUAGUUCUGCACAGUACCAGAAGGAGCAAAAGCACUGGUUUUCAUGGAAGACUUGAAUGAUUUUGGCUACCUCUUAAAGAAACAUUUGUAUAUAAUUUAGACGAAAAAAUAUAGAGAGAGUUAUUACAGGUUAUUACAAGAUAUUGAAUAUAGUUUCCUGUACUAGACAAUACAACAGAAAAAAGAAAAUCUCAAAUGGAUAGGUGCUUUGGAGAAAAAGAUCUAGAAGUCAGGCAAAGAAGGAAAGCUGAGGUCAUUUGACUCUUCAGGCAAUUCAUCCUAUAAACCUACUUAACCAAGGUGUAUAUCACAUCCAAUUUUUGUAAUAGACAGCUGUUGAAAUUAAUUAUUUGAUUGUGACAUCUCUUAGCUAUUAAUCUGUGUACACAAAUAUAUAUCUAGGCACUUAAACUAUCUUAAUGAAUUACCCUUAAAAAAAAAAGUAGAGCAACAUGUAUAGAUUGACCCCAGAUCAAUAUUCAGUCAACAAACAACACUUCAUUCAGACAUUUCAGUACUGAGUUGAUUCACAUUGGAGUACUUUCUUUACCUUAAGAAAUGUGUUUAUUGGAAAAGAAAACUCUAAAAUUUUCUGGUUGACUGAAAACAUAUCAGGGGCAAGAAAGAGAAAGUGUGUUCUUAAAAUUUGGGGUAUAAUAUUGCAAAAUAUGGAUGAAUCUGAAAACAAAACAGCAAAUUUAAGAAACAAACAGAAAAACUGGUUGAAAAUGAGGCUUUGAGAACAAGGUCUGAAUUUCCUAAGAAAGAACUAUUACAGUCUUGUUCUAAAUUGCAGUUCAAAAAAUGGGGAAUCAAAAUUCCCAUUUGGAACUGUUUAAAAAUAAAUAAUAAAAAAAAAAAAAAAAACUAGUUCAUUUUAUAGGCCAGAUUUCACUUUCUAUAUUGCUUUUGGUCAGAGAACAAAUUAAAUUUACAGUCACACAUUUAUUUCAUGUUUUUAAAGUAAUCUAACAUAUGUUUAAACAUGUUGUAAGGUAUGGCUUUUUACUAUUCUGUUAAUUUCAUUUGAUUGCUGUUAAAGGACUUGUUAGUUUUCAUUGCUUUAUCUCCAAAUUGAUGACCAUCUAACUAUUUCUGUCUUGCUUUUAGGUAACAUUUGUAUAUGAUUUUACCUUAGUAGUCUAUCAUUCCAGCUGCUUAACUAAAGACAAGAUUUUCUUUACUUUCUGUUGAUUAAAUUAAAAAUAAGAUGAUGUUUCAUUUGGAAAUAUUUCCAAUUCUGUAUCUGUAUGUGUUUCAAUACUCUUCACAUUUCUUUUGGUUUCCAUGUUUCCAGCAUAUUAAACAGGUCAGUAGGAAAGUAUGUUGGGAAGAAUACUCAACAACCAACCCAGCACAUAUGGUCAACAUGUAAUUACUAUGUAUGCUGCCACUUCCA